UACGUAGGGUCCGAGCGUUGUCCGGAGUGACUGGGCGUAAAGCGCGCGCAGGCGGCCUGCGAGGUGUCCUGUGAAAGCCCCGUGCUCAACGCGGGAGGGUCAGGGCAAACCGGCAGCUUGAGGCCGGUAGAGGUGGGUGGAACUCCUGGUGGAGUGGUGAAAUGCGUAGAGAUCAGGAAGAACACCCGUGGCGAAGGCGGCCCACUGGGCCGGACCUGACGCUGAGGCGCGAAGGCGUGGGGAGCGAACGGG
rnacentral:rRNA from 1 species